CUCCUGAAAGGAAGAUUAAUACAAGAUGGCAUCAUGAGUCCGCAUGUUCACAUGAUUAAAGGUAUUCCGGUAGACGAUGGGGAUGCGUUCCAUUAGAUAGUAGGCGGGGUAACGGCCCACCUAGUCUUCGAUGGAUAGGGGUUCUGAGAGGAAGGUCCCCCACAUUGGAACUGAGACACGGUCCAAACUCCUACGGGAGGCAGCAGUGAGGAAUAUUGGUCAAUGGGCGAGAGCCUGAACCAGCCAAGUAGCGUGAAGGAUGACUGCCCUAUGGGUUGUAAACUUCUUUUAUAAAGGAAUAAAGUCGGGUAUGGAUACCCGUUUGCAUGUACUUUAUGAAUAAGGAUCGGCUAACUCCGUGCCAGCAGCCGCGGUAAUACGGAGGAUCCGAGCGUUAUCCGGAUUUAUUGGGUUUAAAGGGAGCGUAGAUGGAUGUUUAAGUCAGUUGUGAAAGUUUGCGGCUCAACCGUAAAAAUGCAGUUGAUACUGGAUAUCUUGAGUGCAGUUGAGGCAGGCGGAAAUCGUGGUGUAGCGGUGAAAUGCUUAGAUAUCACGAAGAACUCCGAUUGCGAAGGCAGCCUGCUAAGCUGCAACUGACAUUGAGGCUCGAAAGUGUGGGUAUCAAACAGGAUUAGAUACCCUGGUAGUCCACACGGUAAACGAUGAAUACUCGCUGUUUGCGAUAUACAGCAGGCGGCCAAGCGAAAGCGUUAAGUAUUCCACCUGGGGAGUACGCCGGCAACGGUGAAACUCAAAGGAAUUGACGGGGGCCCGCACAAGCGGAGGAACAUGUGGUUUAAUUCGAUGAUACGCGAGGAACCUUACCCGGGCUUAAAUUGCAGAUGAAUUACGGUGAAAGCCGUAAGCCGCAAGGCAUCUGUGAAGGUGCUGCAUGGUUGUCGUCAGCUCGUGCCGUGAGGUGUCGGCUUAAGUGCCAUAACGAGCGCAACCCUUGUUGUCAGUUACUAACAGGUUUCGCUGAGGACUCUGACAAGACUGCCAUCGUAAGAUGUGAGGAAGGUGGGGAUGACGUCAAAUCAGCACGGCCCUUACGUCCGGGGCUACACACGUGUUACAAUGGGGGGUACAGAGGGCCGCUACCACGCGAGUGGAUGCCAAUCCCCAAAACCUCUCUCAGUUCGGACUGGAGUCUGCAACCCGACUCCACGAAGCUGGAUUCGCUAGUAAUCGCGCAUCAGCCACGGCGCGGUGAAUACGUUCCCGGGCCUUGUACACACCGCCCGUCAAGCCAUGGGAGCCGGGGGUACCUGAAGUGCGUAACCGCGAGGAGCGCCCUAGGGUAAAACUGGUGACUGGGGCUAAA
rnacentral:rRNA from 1 species